rnacentral:misc_RNA from 1 species
GUGAAGAACGCAGCGAAAUGCGAUAAGUAAUGUGAAUUGCAGAAUUCAGUGAAUCAUCGAAUCUUUGAACGCACAUUGCGCCCUUUGGUAUUCCGAAGGGCAUGCCUGUUCGAGCGUCAUUUCACCACUCAAGCCUGGCUUGGUAUUGGGCGCCGCGGUCGAUCCGCGCGCCUCAAAGUCUCCGGCUGAGCUGUCCGUCUCUAAGCGUUGUGAUUUCAUUAAUCGCUUCGGAGUGCGGGCGGCCGCGGCCGUUAAAUCUUUCACAAGGUUGACCUCGGAUCAGGUAGGGAUACCCGCUGAACUUAAGCAUAUCAAUAAGCGGAGGA